rnacentral:rRNA from 1 species
CCCUUGGGCCCGCGGGAUUAGGGUUUUGAUUCUGGCUCAGGAUGAACGCUGGCGGCGUGCUCAACACAUGCAAGUCGAACGAACCUUCGGGUUAGUGGCGGACGGGUGAGUAACGCGUGAGAAUCUGCCCUCAGGAGGGGGAUAACAGCUGGAAACGGCUGCUGAUACCCCAUAUGCCGCGAGGUGAAAUGAAUUUCGCCUGAGGAUGAGCUCGCGUCUGAUUAGCUAGUUGGUGUGGGUAAUGGCUCACCAAGGCAUCGAUCAGUAGCUGGUCUGAGAGGAUGAUCAGCCACACUGGGACUGAGACACGGCCCAGACUCCUACGGGAGGCAGCAGUGGGGAAUUUUCCGCAAUGGGCGAAAGCCUGACGGAGCAACGCCGCGUGAGGGAUGAAGGCCUCUGGGCUGUAAACCUCUUUUAUCAAGGAAGAAGAUCUGACGGUACUUGAUGAAUAAGCCACGGCUAAUUCCGUGC